GCUAGUCUGGAGCAAAAGAAGCUCAUGGACAGUGCCAAGGCCCUGAGUUCAAACCCCAGGACUAGCA
rnacentral:tRNA from 1 species